GACAUUGUUACCUACACCUGAUGAAGGUACACCACAUUGCUGUUUGUCUGCCCUACGGGAAGUAUGUACACCAAGGCCAGACCUUACUGACACACCCAUACCUAAUUGCACCCUGACAUAUUAUGUGGAUGGGUCCUCUUCCAGAGACGACAGAGGAAUAAACAGGGUGGGGUGGGCGGUUGUGUCUGACUUUGAAGUAGUGAAAUCCGGAUGCUUACCACCUCAGAAAUCUGCAAAGGUGGCUGAAUUGCAUGCACUAACACAAGCUUGUCAACUUGCUACUAAUCAAUCUAUAACCAUUUACAUUGACUGCUGAUUUUACUGACAGUUUCUCUCCUAUAACAAAUUUUACUCCUUUCUCAAAUAGCUGUGUGCAAAUGCAAAGCACACACCAAGGAACAGGACGUGAUCUCCAGAGGAAAUGCACGCACGGAUGCGGAAGCAUCUCUCAUGACUACUAACAAAAACGUUUCUCUUACACAGAUUUCCCAGGAAAAGGAAGCCGAAACACCACAGGAGUUACUAAUAAGCAUGCAAACAUUUUCUCUUCCAACAGAAAUAGCUCUAUGGAAAUCGUGUGGAGCAACCAAAACUCCUGAAGGGAUUUGGAUGGGUCCAAAUCAAAAACCUUGCUUACCUAAACAUUUUUAUUCCCAUUUUGCUAGGUUGACACAUGGGGUCACGGUGACAUGCGAUACUCUUCAAAAUGAAAAUGACAUGUUGCAAUAUUGUAUUUCUAUGUCCUCUGUAUUUCAAAAUAUCUCCAAAGCAGGUUAAAUCAGCCCUACCCCGUCCAGUAGAAGAACCAUUACACAACAUCAAACCAGGGGAUUACGUGGUGGUAAAGAACCUCAGGAGGAAAUCCUGGAAAGCCAGACGGUGGGAGGGGCCAUUUCAGGUUCUGCUGACGACUCACACCGCUGUGAAGGUCGCGGAGCGUGCCACCUGGGUGCACGUUGCCCAUUGCCGGAGGGUUGGUCCUGGACUGCAAGGUGUAAACCAAAGGGAGGACGGCUAGUCGACUGCUACGGACCACUUUUUCGUAUUGGUGGGAACCACAGAUACCUGUAUACUGCAAGUUUAUACGAAGAACGACACGAGAGAACUGCAACAGCUCACAAAGUAUUGGAGGACGACUCCAGUAUUCUGGGUUUGGUUUGGACACACGCACACGACAUCUUUAAUGAUAGCUUGGCACGACUGCACCGUGUGGUCCUACCAAACCCGAACCUACAAAGGAAAUUAAUCAACAAGGGCUCACGACCCCAACUCUAACUGUGCUCAGGGCUCACGACCCCAACUCUAACUGUGCUCAAUCCGGAAUCAUCAAGGGCUCACGACCCCAACUCUAACUGUGCUCAAUUUCUUCAAGAAAACGAACUAUUUUUCUUUUUUCAAAAAUGAGAUUCAUGAUCAUACUAUGUGUGUGUGCAUUUUUACUUUUGCAACUGCACAGAACUAUAUGUACACUAUGGUUAAGGGUAAUAACCAGAGCUACGUAACGAUGACAGUAAAUGAAGUUAUGAAUAAAUCAUAAAAAGGGA